rnacentral:rRNA from 1 species
AUAAAUUGAAGGGCCGCGGUAUUUUGACCGUGCAAAGGUAGCAUAAUCAUUUGUCUUUUAAUUGAAGGCUUGUAUGAAUGGUUGAACAAAGAAGAAACUGUCUUUAUAGUAUGAAUUGAAUUUAACUUUUAAGUGAAAAGGCUUAAAUAAUCCAAGGGGACGAUAAGACCCUAUAAAGCAUUUUGUUGGGGUGACAUAUAUUAAAUAUAGUAACUAUAUAAGAAAAUUACUUUAAUUUAUGGGAUGGUCCUUUUUAGAGAUUUAGAGAUUAAGUUACUUUAGGGAUAACAGCGUUAUUUUUUUUGAGAGUUCUUAUCGAAAAAAGAGUUUGCGACCUCGAUGUUGAAUUAAAUUAUCUAUAUAAUGUAGUUGUUAUAUAAGAGGGUCUGUUCGACCUUUAAAUUUUU